UACGUAGGGUGCAGGCGUUAAUCGGAAUUACUGGGCGUAAAGCGCACGUAGGCGGAUUGCUAAGUCAGGGGUGAAAUCCUGGAGCUCAACUCCAGAACUGCCUUUGAUACUGGUGAUCUUGAGUCCGGGAGAGGUGAGUGGAACUGCGAGUGUAGAGGUGAAAUUCGUAGAUAUUCGCAAGAACACCGGUGGCGAAGGCGCUCUGCUGGACCUUAACUGACACUGAGGGACGAAAGCUAGGGGAGCGAAUGGG
rnacentral:rRNA from 1 species